rnacentral:rRNA from 1 species
AGACCGAUAGCGAACAAGUAGAGUGAUCGAAAGAUGAAAAGUACUUUGGAAAGAGAGUUAAAAAGCACGUGAAAUUGUUGAAAGGGAAGCGCCUACAACCAGACUUCGCGGCAGUGUUCCGCCGGUCUUCUGACCGGUUCAUUCUCUGUCGCGAGGCCAUCAUCGUCUGGGCCCGCCGGAUAAGACCUUAGGAAUGUAGCUCACCUUCGGGGGAGUGUUAUAGCCUAGGGUGAUGCGGCGAGGCUCGGGCGAGGUCCGCGCUUCGGCAAGGAUGAUGGCGUAAUGGUUGUCGGCGGCCCGUCUUGAAACACGGACCAAG